rnacentral:rRNA from 1 species
UUAAAUGUAAAUUAUUAAGCUAAGUGAUUAAUAGUUAAGUUCUUUAAAGCUAAAUAAUUUGGCGGUAGUUUAAACUUUUCAGAGGAACCUGUCCUAUAAAUGAUAGUCCACGAUUAAAUUAACUUUAAUUAGAAAUUUUUAUAUCAUUGUUGUUAAGUAUUUUAUAAGAAUAGAAUAUUUAAAAUUUCUUUAUUAAGAAAUAAAUCAAAUCAAGGUGAAGUUUAUAUUAAAGAAGAGAUGGGUUACAUUAAAUUUUAUUUUUAGAUUAUUAUUUGUAAAAUUAUAUGAAAUUGGAUUUGAAAGUAAUUAAAUAAUAUAUUUUGA